ACCUAUUAAUAGGUAUGCUUAGGGAGGAGCUUGCGUCACAUUAGUUAGUUGGUGGGGUAAAGGCCUACCAAGACUAUGAUGUGUAGCCGGGCUGAGAGGUUGAACGGCCACAUUGGGACUGAGACACGGCCCAAACUCCUACGGGAGGCAGCAGUAGGGAAUUUUCGGCAAUGGAGGAAACUCUGACCGAGCAACGCCGCGUGAACGAUGAAGUAUUUCGGUACGUAAAGUUCUUUUAUUAGGGAAGAAUAAAUGAUGGAAAAAUCAUUCUGACGGUACCUAAUGAAUAAGCCCCGGCUAACUAUGUGCCAGCAGCCGCGGUAAUACAUAGGGGGCAAGCGUUAUCCGGAAUUAUUGGGCGUAAAGGGUGCGUAGGCUGUUAAAUAAGUUUAUGGUCUAAGUGCAAUGCUCAACAUUGUGAUGCUAUAAAAACUGUUUAGCUAGAGUAAGAUAGAGGCAAGUGGAAUUCCAUGUGUAGUGGUAAAAUGCGUAAAUAUAUGGAGGAACACCAGUAGCGAAGGCGGCUUGCUGGGUCUUUACUGACGCUGAGGCACGAAAGCGUGGGGAGCAAACAGGAUUAGAUACCCUGGUAGUCCACGCCGUAAACGAUGAGUACUAAACGUUGGGUAAAACCAGUGUUGAAGUUAACACAUUAAGUACUCCGCCUGAGUAGUACGUACGCAAGUAUGAAACUUAAAGGAAUUGACGGGACUCCGCACAAGCGGUGGAUCAUGUUGUUUAAUUCGAAGGUACCCGAAAAACCUCACCAGGUCUUGACAUGCUUCUGCAAAGCUGUAGAAACACAGUGGAGGUUAUCAGUUGCACAGGUGGUGCAUGGUUGUCGUCAGCUCGUGUCGUGAGAUGUUGGGUUAAGUCCCGCAACGAGCGCAACCCUUAUUGUUAGUUGCCAGCACGUAAUGGUGGGGACUUUAGCAAGACUGCCAGUGAUAAAUUGGAGGAAGGUGGGGACGACGUCAAAUCAUCAUGCCCCUUAUGACCUGGGCUACAAACGUGAUACAAUGGCUGUUACAAAGGGUAGCUGAAACGCAAGUUUUUGGCGAAUCUCAAAAAAACAGUCUCAGUUCGGAUUGAAGUCUGCAACUCGACUUCAUGAAGUUGGAAUCGCUAGUAAUCGCGAAUCAGCAUUC
rnacentral:rRNA from 1 species